rnacentral:rRNA from 1 species
UACGAAGGGGGCUAGCGUUGCUCGGAAUUACUGGGCGUAAAGGGCGCGUAGGCGGACAGUUUAGUCAGAGGUGAAAGCCCAGGGCUCAACCUUGGAAUUGCCUUUGAUACUGGCUGUCUUGAGUUCGGGAGAGGUGAGUGGAAUGCCGAGUGUAGAGGUGAAAUUCGUAGAUAUUCGGCGGAACACCAGUGGCGAAGGCGACUCACUGGCCCGAUACUGACGUUGAGGCGCGAAAGCGUGGGGAGCAAACAGG